rnacentral:pre_miRNA from 4 species
UCUUAUAGAUGAGCAAGGAAAGUGGUUUCUUGAGAUGGAAUCUACUCCUUAUGAGAAUGCUGUGAG